UUGUAUACGUCUCCACUUUCGUUGUAAAAGGAUCAACGCCGUCAACCUCCUCAUACCAUCUUCUUUGUCUUCAUGAAACCAAGCCUCCACCAAGUCAACACCAUCACCUUCAUGCCGUCAUUAUUUGGUGAACUCGAGGGAAGGUAUCCCAUGGAAAGAGAAGGAGAUGUCACGCCUCAUCACCACUACGCAGCUUUCACCGUUGGGGGGACCUUGUGUCACCGGAGAUGUCACACGGUGCUGGAGACAAGCCUUGCCGUCAUAGAUCCAGCCUCUCUUUAUUGUCAGCGUGGAUCGGAUCCGAGAGGCUUUGACGUGGAGAAGAGACGUACGAACCGGAGCCACCAUCUCAUCAUCACCAACCACCAUUGUUUUGCGCCACUGUAAGGCUAAAGCCACCAGAUUUGAGGCUCAUAUAAACCGGAUAUGCUUUUGUGCGCCAGAGAUUCCGCCAUGUCCUAAGCCGAGGAGAAGAUAUGAGCUAUAUUGGAUCCAUGGCUGAGGAGUGGUUUUUCGGGAGGAUCCUAGAUCGAUUCAGGGGAUUCUAGGCUUCACACCAUGGCUUUUUGGAUAUAUCUCGUUGCAAACAAUCUAUAGCAACAAACGGAAUCGAGAUCGGAGUUGUACAGCAAAAGUAAUGGACGUUGCUUCUUGGCCAAGGAUAAGUUUAAGCUGUAGCGAUGAAGAUACAGUUCCGAUCAGUGUCAGCGUAAAGGUUAAACGGUCGACCUAAACGAAAGCUUUCAAACUGGAAAUUUUGCAGUAAGUAGUUCGUUCUUUAUCUAUCAUUUUCAACAAGCGGAUCGUCAUUUCGAGUUAUUUUCUGAGAAUUAUGCUUGUUUUCGUGAGAGGUGUUGGUGCAGUCUGCGUUUGUGAUCAGCCUAGGGGUGAAGCCAUUUUGGUUGAUCAAACGGUGUCCGAUCGGAGUAAACUCGGUGGCUACGGACAGAGGACAUCUAUGACUACAUUAUGACCAGAGGGAUUGAAAAGUGAACGAGAGUUUAAGAGUUGCUAUUUUAGAGCUGUCAAGUCCAUUAUGUGUUUUCUCAGGUUUCUUCAGAACCCGUGGCAAAGGUGAGACUAACAAACAAGAGUGAUUGUUUCCGGAUUGGUGCUUUUGAGAGUUUGCUUUCUUUCAUUUUCAGACUUGCGGUUUUUAUGGUUUAUUGAUAUUCUUGAGAUUUAUUAUGCUAUUUUUGAUUUAUGGCUAUUUAUGGAUUUAUGGAGUUUAGAAACGAUUUAUG